rnacentral:tRNA from 1 species
GGGCGGUUAGCUCAGUUGGCUAGAGCGCCUGCUUUACACGCAGGAAGUCACAGGUUCGAAUCCUGUACUGCCCA